UACAGAGGUCCCAAGCGUUGUUCGGAUUCACUGGGCGUAAAGGGUGCGUAGGUGGCUUGGUAAGUUUGAUGUGAAAUCUCCGGGCUUAACCCGGAAAUGGCAUUGAAUACUAUUGAGCUGGAGGUUUGGAGGGGGGACUGGAAUUCUCGGUGUAGCAGUGAAAUGCGUAGAUAUCGAGAGGAACACCAGUGGCGAAGGCGGCCUUCUGGACAGUGACUGACGCUGAGACGCGAAAGCGUGGGGAGCAAACAGG
rnacentral:rRNA from 1 species